UCUCAUUGUCCUCUCCCAUCCCUAAUUUUAUCACAAAAUUUGCCCCAACCUAGGUCGCAAACCCCCUUUAUCUUCCUCAUCGCUCUCUCCAUUUUUCUUAGUCAUUCAUUCUUUCCCACUCCAUUCCCAAGUUUAUCGCAUAAUUUUGGAGUUCUCUUCCCUCCGAGACCCUGGCAUCAUUCUCAAGUUCCUCUGAUUCGUUGUCGGGUCACCGUCAAUCCUGACCUCUAAGUGUGGUAACAGUUCUCUUUCAACAUUCAUUAAAAGAGCCAGAGGAUCAGAGAGUGCAACUUUGGAUCAUAUAGACUAAUGAAAAUAACUAGCCCUUCAACUGAUGUUGAAAGUGCACUAGCUUUUAGAGUUUUGGAAGGAUGUUGUCUGUUUCACAGAGAGAGCACCAUUUUUAGCCCAUAUUUAUAAGGCGAUUCAGGAAUGGCAUAUUUGUGUUAGUUACGGAGCUAUGGCUGGGUACUUGGUUUCAAUGGUGAUAUCUUUUGGAUUUGUAGUCUUGCAAGGUGGGAGGAUCGUGUUAAUGAAGACUAAUCAGCAAGGAGAAGUCAUCAAAUUGGAGGAAUUGUGAACUCUACACUAAUUGUUGGCCUAUAGGAGCAUGAAUUUGGCCAUGUUUAGCUUCAAUUUUUUUUUUCCAUGUCCUUGUUUUAAAGCUGUAAAUUUUACUUAAAUUGGUUUUAUGUAACAAAACGUUUUUGGUGAAUGGAAAGAUUCAUUGGAUAUA